GCGGCAUGCUUAACACAUGCAAGUCGAGGGGCAGCAGGCAGGAACUUCGGUUCCUGGCUGGCGACCGGCGGACGGGUGAGUAACACGUAGCUACUGCCCCCACAGAGGGGGAUAACACACCGAGAGGUGUGUUAAUCCGGCAUAUACCCGAGAGGGGAAAGGGCUUCGGCCCGCUGUGGGAUAGGGCUGCGGCGUAUCAGCUAGUUGGUGAGGUAACGGCUUACCAAGGCGAUGACGCGUAGCUGGUCUGAGAGGAUGAUCAGCCACACUGGAACUGAGACACGGUCCAGACUCCUACGGGAGGCAGCAGUGGGGAAUAUUGGGCAAUGGGGGAAACCCUGACCCAGCAAUGCCGCGUGGAGGAAGAAGCAUUUCGGUGUGUAAACUCCUUUUGAGGGAAGAAGAUGAC
rnacentral:rRNA from 1 species